GUUUGAUAAGUGUGAGACUCUUGCCCCUUUGUGCUCUUCUCUCCCUCCUGCCACCAUGUAGGAUGUGCCUUGUUUCCCCUUCACCUUCUGCCAUGAUUGUCAGUUUCCUGAGUCCUCCCCAGCCACGCAGAACUGGUCAGAACUGCCUCAGUGACUCUGAGCAGCCCCUUUCAAGAGACUGCAGAAGAAAAGAUCCACUCAAAUCUGGAGUAGGAGCAAGGAGGUGGCGCACCAUGAACAGGAGGAUAGCUGACAGAGAGGCAGAGGGAAGAAGAGAACUGAAUGAGCCUGGGGCAAGAAAAAGUGGUUGGCGUCAUGGCCCUGCCACUCAGCAUUAUAAGCUCCCUUCAAUAGUGGCUUGAAACUGGAUCAAAAAGGUCCAGAGACCUCAGGAACUAUCUGACUUAUUCCCCUACCCCAUCUAUGCGAUGAGCUAGCUAUCUGGCCUUAUGCACAUCACUUAGCUUCUUGGGUCUCAAUUUCCUCACUUAUGAAAAAGAUAUCAAAAUAUCUUGGAUGUUUUAUAUGAGAAUUAAGGUGCUUCAUUCAUUCAUUCCAUAAAUAUUUACUGAAUGCUCACCAUAUGCCAGGGAUGUUUCCAGGCACUAAUGAUUCAGCAAUAAACAAAACAAACAACAAUCCUGAAAUGUUUGCCUUUAUAAAAUUCAUAUUGUCUAUUUCCACUUAUUACAAUAAACAUAAUAAGUCAAAUAUGUGGUUUGUCAGAUAUUGAUGAUAGCUUUGGAGAGAAAUGAAACAGAGGAACGUGGGUUGCAAUUUCACAAAGGCUUGUCAAAAAAAGGCUUGGCUGAGAGGAUGGUAUCUAAAAAAGACCUAAAGAAGAAGAGACACGUGUGCAAAAGCAUUCGCACAAUGCCUGGUACAAAAAAGAUGGCGUGAUUUUUGUGUUGUAUUAUUAUUAUCAUCAAAAUUAUUAUAAUUAUUAUUCACAUUCUUCUUAGUUGCCCAGAAAAGUGGCUUAUACAGAACUGACAGAGACAACCCAAAAUAUUAAUAUUAC
rnacentral:lncRNA from 1 species